rnacentral:rRNA from 1 species
UACGAAGGGGGGCUAGCGUUGCUCGGAAUCACUGGGCGUAAAGCGCACGUAGGCGGAUCUUUAAGUCAGGGGUGAAAUCCCAAGGCUCAACCUUGGAACUGCCUUUGAUACUGGGGAUCUCGAGUCCGGAAGAGGUUGGUGGAACUGCGAGUGUAGAGGUGAAAUUCGUAGAUAUUCGCAAGAACACCAGUGGCGAAGGCGGCCAACUGGUCCGGUACUGACGCUGAGGUGCGAAAGCGUGGGAAGCAAACAGG